GACGCGUACCCAAGGUAGCUGUCACUAAAACUACCCUGGGUCGUUGUACGUUCAAGCCAAUCACUGCGCAGAAUUUUAUUCCGCACAACAUAAACAUGGAGCCAACUGAAAUGGACUACUUAAAAUGGUCCACCACAUUGGGUCCAAGGAGGAAGUGAUGCAGGAGUGGUCCAUGAUGACACACCGUCGGUCCAGUGCUUUUACAAAGGCUGUUCACUUAUAUGGCAGCAUUCCUUGUUAGGAACCCCAAAGAGAAACCAGAUACCUGCAUUACCCCCUGGACCAAAACUAACCCUGACAACCUGCACAUCCCUAUUCCCUGUGAAGGGAGGCCUUCAAGAGACUGGAUCACUGAGUCACCUAGGUGAUCACUGAGAGAUGACACCUUUGCCUACAUUUACUACAGAGCCUGUAAAGGCUCCACCCCUCAGUUCAGAAGAUUGGUUCUAUGAUUAUGGAUUAUGAUGCUUAAGUAAAUUAGAGGCACAAAGAUCAUACCUCCCCUGUUAUUGGUAAUGGUGAGGUUAGCAUGUUUUGUUGUAGCCGCUAACUUUCUCACUCAUCAUUCAUGAUCGUUCUUUAUUAUCAGGACUAAUUUAGAAGUGUUCAGAAACAUCUUAUUUGCUCACUUAGAAAUAAUUAUUCCAGUCAUCAUUAACCAGUCAGUUCCUAUAAGGCAAAACAUAAUCUGAAACAACCAAGCUGUAAAUGUAUCCAACAAGUUUGCAGAGUCACAAGGCUGUAGUCACUGUGUGCUAGGAAUAUGGGACCAAAUAAUAAACGUGACAACUU